GACGAACGCUGGCGGCGUGCUUAACACAUGCAAGUCGAACGGAAAGGCCCUUCGGGGUACUCGAGUGGCGAACGGGUGAGUAACACGUGGGUGAUCUGCCCUGCACUUUGGGAUAAGCCUGGGAAACUGGGUCUAAUACCGAAUAUGAACAUCUGCUUCAUUGUCGGUGGUGGCAAGCUUUUGCGGUGUGGGAUGGGCUCGCGGCCUAUCAGCUUGUUGGUGGGGUAAUGGCCUACGAAGGCGACGACGGGUAGCCGGCCUGAGAGGGUGACCGGCCACACUGGGACUGAGAUACGGCCCAGACUCCAACGGGAGGCAGCAGGCGGGAAUAUUGCACAAUGGGAGCAAGCCGGAUGCAGCGACGCCGCGUGAGGGAUGACGGCCUUCGGGUUGUAAACCGCUGUCAGCACAGACGAAGCGCAAGUGACGGUAUGUGCAGAAGAAGGACCGGCCAACUACGUG
rnacentral:rRNA from 1 species